rnacentral:rRNA from 1 species
GAUGAACGCUGGCGGCGUGCCUAAUACAUGCAAGUCGAGCGAACAGACGAGGAGCUUGCUCCUCUGACGUUAGCGGCGGACGGGUGAGUAACACGUGGAUAACCUACCUAUAAGACUGGGAUAACUUCGGGAAACCGGAGCUAAUACCGGAUAAUAUAUUGAACCGCAUGGUUCAAUAGUGAAAGACGGUUUUGCUGUCACUUAUAGAUGGAUCCGCGCCGCAUUAGCUAGUUGGUAAGGUAACGGCUUACCAAGGCAACGAUGCGUAGCCGACCUGAGAGGGUGAUCGGCCACACUGGAACUGAGACACGGUCCAGACUCCUACGGGAGGCUGCAGUAGGGAAUCUUCCGCAAAGGGCGAAAGCCUGACGGAGCAACGCCGCGUGAGUGAUGAAGGUCUUCGGAUCGUAAAACUCUGUUAUUAGGGAAGAACAAAUGUGUAAGUAACUAUGCACGUCUUGACGGUACCUAAUCAGAAAGCCACGGCUAACUACGUG